GUACCAGUUUUCCUUUAAUGGAACUGAUGAGGCAUGGAAUGAGCCAAGUGUCAGGCUGGUCUGUGCUGUCCAGAAUUGGUGAAUUUCAAAUGAGAGGCUCCUCUAUUGAAACGGAACAAUAGGGUUCUUAAUCAGUGGACCUUUUCCCCUUGUCAGUUCCUGGGUCAACUGAUGGACCACACUGCUUUGUAGCAACUCUGUCUAUGAGGGCUUUCAUGUGGC